rnacentral:tRNA from 1 species
GCCCCCAUGGUGUAACGGUUAGCACGCGAGGCUUUCAAUCUCGAAGCGUGGGGUUCGACUCCCCCUGGGGGUA